UACGAAGGGGGCUAGCGUUGUUCGGAAUCACUGGGCGUAAAGGGCGCGUAGGCGGCUUUAUAAGUCGGGGGUGAAAGCCUGUGGCUCAACCACAGAAUUGCCUUCGAUACUGUAGAGCUUGAGACCGGAAGAGGUAAGUGGAACUGCGAGUGUGGAGGUGAAAUUCGUAGAUAUUCGCAAGAACACCAGUGGCGAAGGCGGCUUACUGGUCCGGUUCUGACGCUGAGGCGCGAAAGCGUGGGGAGCAAACAGG
rnacentral:rRNA from 1 species